rnacentral:rRNA from 1 species
GACGAGUGGCGGACGGGUGAGUAAUGUCUGGGAAACUGCCUGAUGGAGGGGGAUAACUACUGGAAACGGUAGCUAAUACCGCAUAACGUCGCAAGACCAAAGAGGGGGACCUUCGGGCCUCUUGCCAUCGGAUGUGCCCAGAUGGGAUUAGCUAGUAGGUGGGGUAACGGCUCACCUAGGCGACGAUCCCUAGCUGGUCUGAGAGGAUGACCAGCCACACUGGAACUGAGACACGGUCCAGACUCCUACGGGAGGCAGCAGUGGGGAAUAUUGCACAAUGGGCGCAAGCCUGAUGCAGCCAUGCCGCGUGUAUGAAGAAGGCCUUCGGGUUGUAAAGUACUUUCAGUGGGGAGGAAGGGAGUAAAGUUAAUACCUUUACUCAUUGACGUUACCCGCAGAAGAAGCACCGGCUAACUCCGUGCCAGCAGCCGCGGUAAUACGGAGGGUGCAAGCGUUAAUCGGAAUUACUGGGCGUAAAGCGCACGCAGGCGGUUUGUUAAGUCAGAUGUGAAAUCCCCGGGCUCAACCUGGGAACUGCAUCUGAUACUGGCAAGCUUGAGUCUCGUAGAGGGGGGUAGAAUUCCAG